rnacentral:rRNA from 1 species
AGGAGUAUUACGAGCAGCUGCUUAAAACUCGAAGAACUUGGCGGUUCCACAAAACCAUCCAGAGGCUCUUGGCGCUUAAACCGAUGAUCCGCGUGAUAUCUUACCCGCUCUAUAUGGUAAUGUACUGCCGUCGAAAGCUUAUGAUGUGAGUGUAUAAAAAUAGGCUUCAUCUUAGGCAUAGAUUAGAUCUAUGUGCUAAGACUAGGUCAGGUCGAAGUGUUCUUUAUGAGUGAGGGGUUAGCUGAGAGACAAUUUUUAAGAUAUAACAAGCUUUAAAAUGAAAUUUUUAUAGUGAGGCGGAUUUGGGAGUAAAGGGAGAUUAACUCACUCUUUUGAAUAGACGCAACUGUGGUGCGUACAAAUCGCCCGUCACCCUAGCUGAAAGGAGAGGUAAGUCGUA